UGGGAUCGACCUUCAUAAUUAUUUGAGGUAAGAGGCACCUGUAUCCUUUAUGCUUCUCACUGUAGCCAAGAAAGAUACAGGAUCUUCACUGUUUUAAGAUUGGUGUGAGCAAGCCUUUGAUGCCAGGUAUCUUCUGCUAUUUCCUGUUGAGUCUGUGUGAAGAAAACUUCUGCAGCUUUAGGUUCCACCUGGUAGAGCCCCUUGACUUUCCUUCCUAGCUUCACCAUUGUAUGACUGUGAUUGUCCUUCAUAUAUACCCCAUGUUUAUCAAAAAUAAAAGAACAGGGAUA